GUCACAAGAUCGCCCUUUGUCCCCAGCAUUCCGUUCCUGAUGAUGUUGGUGAUGUGUUCAGAGUCAUGAGUGCUCCAAGGAGGAUGUUGGGUCGUCAAGGCUGGGAGCAGGGGGUGGAGGACAAAGGAUUUCACACGUGAGAAAGCAAUCUUCAAACAAACAACCCAAUUAACAGACUCCAUCCUCCAAGCUGGCCCUGGCCUCAGGGUUUCUCAAGACGGACCUCCACUGCCCAGGCUUAGCCCCCAGAGAGAAAUUCUCUCCCAGAGACCAGCCCACCUGGAUCGAGAGGCCUCCACAUCUGCCUUCUCGUCCCCCCAGCCUUGAGGACAGUCUGAGCCCGACCGGUGGCUGUCCCAGGACCUACAGAUUGUCUCAGGCGCCUAGAGUGAACCAAGAUGGCGGCCCCCGUUGAUCUGGAGUUGAAGAAGGGGUCGACUAGGAUGGCAUGCAGCUUGGCCCUACUCUUCUCUCUUCCCCCAUCUGAAAUGCACACAUGAGUCUGGAGCUGCGGCAGCCGUGGGACCAGAUGCCACAGGUCACAGAUGGUGGAGUAAAACAACAGUUGGAAUCGGAGACAUCGAUGACGCUGUGGAGUCCCUGCACCGCCCCUGGAUGGUCUGCCUCUGCGCUCAUCAGCAUGUGAAGAGGACCGUCUCCGACUUGACUAGACCAAGGUCUCGGCGAUUCUAUUACAUGUGGCCAAUUGCAAUUCUGAUCCAGAAGGCAGCUGAAGCCAAGGACUCCAUGAAACUGCCUAGGGAGAGAGCAGAGAUUGAGAAGGGAGGAGGGUGUGGACAGACGCUCUGGGGGCUGUCGGCCUUUGAUGGAUGGAGAGGGGAGUCUGAGCCUCCCCUGGCAGGGAAACCGAGGGGAGACAACCGGAGAGGUAGAGAAGGGGAACCUUGCCAAAGUGGGCCACGCAUUUGCCUCUAAGCUUUCCAGCAGGCAGUGAGAAAAAGGAAACCCAGUCUGUUCUUACCAUGAGAUACAAAGACCAGUGGUUGAGUAGGAGGGUCAGUAACGCUGGGCUGGAGACCAGAUGAGCAUUCCCCCAAGGGUCUUCGCACAGUGGACACUUUGUCACUCAGUCCAAAGGUCCUCAGCAACAACAUCCUAACAACAGACGAAGUCAUGUGCUUUCAGGGUUUCUUACCACAUCCGUCCAUGUGAGCCGAUGGGAUCACCAUCAAAGAGGAAGCAAAUUCUAGGGAGGGCCCAGUAUAUGUGGCCCAGACCCCAGCUCUCUGUACCUCUACCUUGUUUAAGGGACAUAUUUGAGUCUAUCAGGAGGAGGCCAUGAGCCACAAUCUCUUUCCAGCAAAAGUCCCUAAAUAUUGUUCCUCUCACUGGGGCUUUUAAACAACAUUGGUGGCCUUGAGGCCAACCCUACUCUCUCAGCCAAGCGUCCGGGUGCAGGGCUUCUCUCCAGAAAAUAUAGACCCACCCACGCUGGAGUUGACCCCUUAUGAAAUGAAGUUGCCUGAAAAGGGAGAGUCUUAAAUGCCCAACAAAGGAACCAUCUGGUUAAUCUGAGCAAAAGCAGGAAUUCCUCAGGAAGAAAAGAAGAUACCAGAAUUGAUUUUCAACUGGCAUAAAGAUCCAGGCUCUGCCUGAUUGCCUCCAGGGUUGUGAGGCUCACUACCAUUCAAGGCAGCUCAUUUCUUCCUAUCAACAGCUCUGAACAGAGAAGAAUCUUCCUUAUAUUGAACCCUGAUGUUUUCAUCAUCACUGGAAAUGUUAAUAGAUUGCAUGGUGCAAAGGAGUUCCUUUAUUGGGCUAGAACGGGGUGCUGGGCAGUGGGAGGGUCAUGGCACACAGGGGUCUGAUACACACAGGAGGUUCUCUGACGCUCAUCCUUGGAUGGACUGUGUUCCACCUAAACGCUCCUGGGCACGUCGCCAGGCCAAUAACUUAUUAGAGCGAUAAUACCAUUCCCAAAGAUGGACGGUCUACAGAAUUUCAUUGAUGCCAUCUCCUCUUCUCCUGUCCUACAAAUCAACUGAACUAAGGCUUGAACUAAACUUGAACUAAGGCUGAAUUUGAACUUGAGCUUGAAGGGACAACAACUCAGACAUAGACAUUUUCCAUUUCUCUUUUGGUGUCACCGUGAACAUAAAUUGCUAGGGGUUUGGAACCAGGAGGAGACCCAACUCUCUGCCUUCUGUCCAAGAUAAGCAGGCCUUGGUCCGGUGGUCCCUACUGUGGAGGGGGGAGAGGGGAGAGCCCUGGACUGUGGGGCCUGUGAAGGGAGGACAGUGCUGUGGGAGAGGCCUCCCGAGAAGACGCAUCCUGCAUCCCUGUUAUCUCCCGGCAUCCUCUGUUGACGUCCUUCGUUCCAGCGUCUCCUCUGUGACAGGUGGCACUAUUCUUGGUUAUGCUCUGGGGUGUGCAGGCAAUGGAGUGGACACCACCUCGCCCUCAUGGUGUGCCAACCACAAGGGGACCCUUCAAAGCUGAACAGAGCUUCAGUCUGCAACACAUUUUUAUAUCCAUUGCCUUCUUUGAUUCUUAUAACAACCCAGUGAGGAUGGGAAAACUGAGUCAGUGGCAGAGCUGGGACCCAUAUCUGGGAGCAACUCUCUGCCAUUCUCACCAUGCGAGGACACCUCCCGUGGGCCCUGGGUCACUCCUGCUGGGUCAGGGCUGGGCCUUGGUCAGCAAUGGCCUACACUUAGAUUUCUACCUCCUUUCUCACUUUUCCUCUCCCUCUCAACUACCUCUCUCCACAUCCUUUAUUCUUCCAUAUUCCUACCUCUUUAUUCUCUCUUCUUUUCUCCUUCUUAUCAGCCAAGGUUCCCACAGACAAUGCUUGGCCCUCAGGGAGCCACACUAGGCCUGAGGGACUAGAACCCCUUGGUGUCUACAACCACAACCAUGAGUGUCCGCCUGGUGUUGCGUCCUCCUGAUCAGCAGGUCCCGGGUUGGGCAGCUGACCCAUGCAUACCAGGAGAAGCCAUGGGGGAGGAGGCCUGGAAUGGCUCUAGGCCAGAAGCCAGGAGACCUGAGCUCACAUGACAGCUCAGCCAAUUAUAACCUUACGCACAUUACUGUCCCACUCAGGACCUCAGUUUUUUCAUCAGUAAAGUGAGAUAAUAAUACCUACCUCCCAGGGCAGGAGGGUUAGGAAAAUUGAUGUCAUAGUGCCAGGCAUGUAUGAGAUGUUUAAUAAAGAUUGGUGGAAAGCGGUAGCAGCUGGAACACAGAACCCUCCCAAGGGUUGGACUUGAAAACAUCAAUCUCUGUGCUGGAGCAAUAAAAGGCAGGAGGCAGCUGAAGCAUUGGCAGAGGUGGAAGGGAAUGGAGGAAGGGUGUCACUGGGCAGAGGCUGUUCAUUGUUUUUUCCCCUGGGCAUCGCGGGCUCCGGUACUCUGGAUCCAGCCACUGAACUCAAUUAAUGCUUGUCUCUUUAUGUUGUUGAUAAAAUCAUCUUGUAACAUUCCAGAUGCCUAAUAAGGGUGUGUGCAGCUACUGGGCAGUGAGUCCUGGAAUCUCCCCGCCUUCAGCACACCUUGGUAGUAAUGGUGAUUUUUAAAAGCUGGGAAGCCCAGAGUGAAUUCUCCCAAAACAGACUUGGUCAGUCCCAACGUCAGCAGAGAUUCAGAGCCCAACCUGCAGUGGUUCCAGAAAGAGAAGCCAAUGACAACACACAGUGGGGGUGCAGCAGGGAGACCCAAAGCGCAGGAGGAACCCAGGACCCAGGACAAGGAAGACCCAGUUUUGCCCAGGGAAAGUCAAAGAAACUUCCAGAGCUGGAAACGUGGAAAAUAGAAAUGGAUGGACUUUCAGUUAAGCAUGCAAACGGAACCUACCCAGUUGUCUCCUCUCCCUCCUGGGAUCCCACUGAGACAUAGGAAAGGAAUUGAAAUGGUGUAAACCCACAUCACAGGGAAAGGGAGAGGAUUCUCAGAGGGCUGGAGAUUUCAGCAAGUUUAUGGAACAGAACAGUGGGAGGUAGGUGAGGAAGAGGAAGCCAAAGCCGGCGUGAGAAGAGAGAUCCCAUUUUCUUAACAGAGCCCUAGAAAGGCUUGAAAAUCGGUUACACCAGGUACAGCGCAGGACAGGUGGGAGAUGUGUGCGUAACACCAGGGCAUUAUGUGAAAGCUGGUCUGUGGAACGGCUGCCGCUGCUUCCAUCCCCAGGAAAACAAACAAGUCAUUUAAAGAAACUACAAGGUAGGUCCUAGAGAAAACAACCCUCACAAACACUCGGGCUUGCAGAGGUUCACAGUGUAACACUCAACUUGCUGCCUCAGACCCUAAAAUGAAGCUCGCCAGGCAACAGCGCUUGCCCGUGUGCACAAAGCUGCCAACAUUGGUUACUUUUACUGCCUCACUUUUAAAAUACAAACCGAUAACCAAGGAUUUAAGGGAAGCAAGCGACAAACAACAACAAAAAUCUCAGAGAAAACAGAUAUAGCUCAGAAAGUAGAAAGGAACUUUAAAGACUACAAAAUUUUAAACUCUAGUAUCCUAAGAAAAAUCCAAAACAGACUGCAUCCAUAAAACAAGAAUAAGAGUCUAUAAAAAGGAACAGUUAAAGAAUAGGGGUUACAGAAAUUUAAAACACAAUUGCAGAAAUUAAAAUUUUAAUUAGAUUGCUGGAAGAUAGAGUUGAGGAGUCUCCAGAAAGUAGGAAAGAGAAAUUAAAAAGACAAGAGAAAAGAGAAGACAAAAAGGAUUAAAGGAAAGGAGA